rnacentral:rRNA from 1 species
GACAGAGGUGCCGAGCGUUAGGCGGAAUCACUGGGCUUAAAGCGUGUGUAGGCGGGCCGUUAAGUGCCUUGUGAAAUCCCCCGGCUCAACCGGGGAACUGCUGGGCAUACUGGCGGCCUUGAGUCACUCAGGGGUCAGCGGAACAAACGGUGGAGCGGUGAAAUGCGUAGAUAUCUGGAGGAACACCGGUGGCGAAGGCGGCAUCCUGGACCGGUAUUGACGCUGAGGCGCGAAAGCCAGGGGAGCAAACGGG